UACGUAGGGGGCAAGCGUUUGUCCGGAAUCAUUGGGCGUAAAGAGCGUGUAGGCGGCUCGGUAAGUCCGCUGUGAAAGUCCAGGGCUCAACCCUGGAAUGCCGGGUGGAAACUGUCGAGCUAGAGUCCGGAAGAGGCGAGUGGAAUUCCUGGUGUAGCGGUGAAAUGCGCAGAUAUCAGGAGGAACAGCCAAUGGGCGAAGGCAGCUCGCUGGGACGGUACUGACGCUGAGACGCGAAAGCGUGGGGAGCAAACAGG
rnacentral:rRNA from 1 species